rnacentral:SRP_RNA from 1 species
GCCGGGCGCAGUGGCACAUGCCUGUAGUCCCAGCUACUUGGGAGGCUGGGGCGGGAGGAUGGCUUGAGCCCAGGAGUUCAGGGCUGUAGUGCGCUAUGCCCAUCAGGUGUACGCACUAAGUUCGGCAUCAAUAUGGCGACCUCCCCAGAGCGGGGGACCACCAGGUUGCCUAAGGAGGGGUGAACCGGCCCAGGUCGGAAACGGAGCAGGUCAAAACUCCCGUGCUGAUCAGUAGUGGGAUCGUGCUUGUGAAGAGCCACUGCACUCCAGCCUGGGCAACAUAGCAAGACCCUGUCUCUU